rnacentral:rRNA from 1 species
UGAGGAAUAUUGGUCAAUGGGCGGUAGCCUGAACCAGCCAAGUAGCGUGAAGGAUGAAGGUUCUAUGGAUUGUAAACUUCUUUUAUAAAGGAAUAAAGCGAGGCACGUGUGCCUUUUUGUAUGUACUUUAUGAAUAAGGAUCGGCUAACUCCGUGCCAGCAGCCGCGGUAAUACGGAGGAUCCGAGCGUUAUCCGGAUUUAUUGGGUUUAAAGGGAGCGUAGAUGGGUUGUUAAGUCAGUUGUGAAAGUUUGCGGCUCAACCGUAAAAUUGCAAUUGAUACUGGCGUCCUUGAGUACAGUUGAGGUGGGCGGAAUUCGUGGUGUAGCGGUGAAAUGCUUAGAUAUCACGAAGAACCCCGAUUGCGAAGGCAGCCUGCCAAGCCAUGACUGACGCUGAUGCACGAAAGCGUGGGGAUCAAACAGGAUUAGAUACC